UACAGAGGUCCCGAGCGUUGUUCGGAUUCACUGGGCGGAAAGGGUGCGUAGGUGGUGAGGUAAGUCGGAUGUGAAAUCUCCGGGCUCAACCCGGAAAUGGCAUUGGAAACUACCUUGCUGGAGGAUUUGAGGGGGGAUUGGAAUACUUGGUGUAGCAGUGAAAUGCGUAGAUAUCAAGUGGAACACCAGUGGCGAAGGCGAAUCCCUGGAAAAUACCUGACACUGAGGCACGAAAGCUAGGGGAGCAAACAGG
rnacentral:rRNA from 1 species